CAGUCGAACGCCCCGCAAGGGGAGUGGCGGACGGGUGAGUAACGCGUGGGAAUUUUCCUCAAGGUACGGAACAACUCAGGGAAACUUGGGCUAAUACCGUAUGAUGCAGCGAUGCCAAAGAUUUAUCGCCUUGGGAUAAGCCCGCGUCAGAUUAGGUAGUUGGUGGGGUAACGGCCUACCAAGCCUGCGAUCUGUAGCUGGUCUGAGAGGACGAUCAGCCACAUUGGGACUGAGACACGGCCCAAACUCCUACGGGAGGCAGCAGUGGGGAAUCUUGCGCAAUGGGCGAAAGCCUGACGCAGCCAUGCCGCGUGAAUGAUGAAGGUCUUAGGAUUGUAAAGUUCUUUAGCCUGUGACGAUGAUGACGGUAACAGGAGAAUAAGCCCCGGCUAACUUCGUGCCAGCAGCCGCGGUGAUACGAAGGGGGCUAGCGUUGUUCGGAAUUACUGGGCGUAAAGCGCGCGUAGGCGGUUUUACAAGCCAGAGGUGAAAUGCCUGAGCUUAACUUGGGAAUUGCCUUUGGAACUGUAUGACUUCGAGGACGAGAGAGGUGAGUGGAAUUCCCAGUGUAGAGGUGAAAUUCGUAGAUAUUGGGAAGAACACCGGUGGCGAAGGCGGCUCACUGGCUCGUUUCUGACGCUGCAGCGCGAAAGCGUGGGGAUCAAACAGGAUUAGAUACCCUGGUAGUCCACGCUGUAAACGAUGAGUGCUAGGCGUCGGCACGCUUGCGUGUCGGUGCCGCAGCUAACGCGUGAAGCACUCCGCCUGGGGAGUACGGUCGCAAGAUUAAAACUCAAAGGAAUUGACGG
rnacentral:rRNA from 1 species